rnacentral:rRNA from 1 species
CCUACGGGGGGCAGCAGUGAGGAAUAUUGGUCAAUGGACGAGAGUCUGAACCAGCCAAGUAGCGUGAAGGAUGACUGCCCUAUGGGUUGUAAACUUCUUUUAUAUGGGAAUAAAAUGUUCCACGUGUGGGAUUUUGUAUGUACCAUAUGAAUAAGAAUCGGCUAACUCCGUGCCAGCAGCCGCGGUAAUACGGAGGAUCCGAGCGGUAUCCGGAUUUAUUGGGUUUAAAGGGAGCGUAGGUGGAUUGUUAGUACAGUUGGGAAAGUUGGCGGCUCAACCGUAAAAUUGCAGUUGAAACUGGCAGUCUUGAGUACAGUAGAGGUGGGCGGAAUUCGUGGUGUAGCGGUGAAAUGCUUAGAUAUCACGAAGAACUCCGAUUGCGAAGGCAGCUCACUGGACUGCAACUGACACUGAGGCUCGAAAGUGUGGGUAUCAAACAGGAUUAGAUACCCGUGUAGUC